UGAGGGCUGUGAGCCGUGAGGGGCCAUGAGGAGCUGUGAGGACCGUGAGGUACCAUGCCGGCAGAAGGGUGCAAAGGGACCGAGUGGCAUCGCAGUGUCCUCCUCAGCAGCUGUGAGCAGAAUGAUUUCAUGGCAGCAGCUAGCGGAGACCUCAGCAUUUGGUCCCCAUCAGAGACAAGCACAGAGGCCCAGAAAAGCCGCAGCCGUGUGUGGUGAAAUAAAUGGGCGGGAGAUCUUUCUCCUUUUUUAAUGCCUUUAUUAAGAAGAAUCAGCUCAGGUGGGGAGAAAUCAACGGGUUGCGCCCACGCCGCCGUUGCUCGCAGGCGUGGCACGAAGGAGGAGGAUGAUGCAGCUUUGUCCGCUGGUCUGCAGGCAGAGCUGGGGAUUCCGUCCUCACGGGAGAGUCGUGGAGUCCUUGGUUUGUUUGUUUACAAACCCGGGGGGUCUCUUUAAUCAGUAUCUUUUGAGGUUAGGGUGAGAAACAAAAAGGUCCAAGCAGGUACGGGACAAUGCUCCCAUCCUUAGACGUCACUUAAGUCACUUGUUGGCUCGUGAUUUUAGGGGUUUUUCUUGUAAAAACUGUAAAACUGUAAAAAACCCAGGGUGCAAUGCAUUUCUCAUUUGCAUGUUGGCUCUGGUGUCACUGCCCAUUCUCUUUACCCUGGAAGGUUUCUCUUGGUGUCUUCUUGGCAACCGGCCGGCAUCAGAGGAACAAUAGUUAAUCACCGGCCAUUAACGAGUAAUUAAAAACUUUUUCUUUGGCAGCGAAACCAAAGGAGUCUGACCGGUCUGACUUGGUUUUUUUUUUAACUCUGAAACUUAAAAAAAAUACAACUUUCUAUUCAUAACAUGUGGCAGCCCCUCGGUACCCUCCGCAGGCCUGGCGGCGCACAGCGAUGGGCCGGGGCUGCUCCCUGUGUCUGGCAGUGGGACACCCAUUUCCAGUUCGUCACUGAAUGGUUGCGUGAGUGAAGCGGCAAGCAGCCACACAGAUACAGCCUAGAGCCUGAUUUCUUGGGACUUAAAUGGGCCAAACCGAGUCAGGCAUUCAUGAAGUUUAAAAUUAGUCCUUGAAGACUGAGAAUGGGUGAGCAGAGAACACAUGGAAAUGCUACUAAGAUAAAUGGAAACAAACCAUCUGACAGCAGUGUUUUUGUAAUUUGCUAGAAAUGCAUCUAAACAGUUGGAUGAAACAGACUAAGACUGACUAAGAGAGGCAGAACUGACAUUAGACCACAGGGGAAGGUGUGAUGCUCUCAGGAAUGAACAGAAAUGGCAAAUUGGCAAGAAAGCUCCAAGGACACCAGGUAGGCAUGAUCUAGAUAAGAUCCUUCACCUCAUCUAAUUAUUCUUCCAGUGACACCAUUGUUCUUUUACUUACUACACAGGAGUUCCUCUAAGCUUACAUCAGUUUAGAUUAGUUCUCUGCUAUCCUUUAAAUACUCAGAGGAAAGCAUCUGCUACUAUCCCCUUUGGGCAGAUGUAAUAUUCAGAAGUAAUUACUAACAGAGAAGGAAAAUAUACAAGAGGAGACUCAAAGGUGGUGAAAAGAUUCUGAAUUUUCUUUAUGCAGUUAAGAAUUUAAUUAAAAAGGUGUCUAACAAAGCUAUAUCCUCUGUACAACUGGGAUCUGCCCACUGAAAUGUUGUAUUGACUCUUGACCAGCAAAAGGUUUUCUGUAAUUCCCUGAGUAGGUUUUUCAUACCAUACUAUCUGGACAGAUUUUUUUUUUUUUUAAUAGAGUUUGUUUGCCUUUGUGUACAAAUCUGCUUGCCUUUAUUUUUAUAAAAAGUCCCAGGAAAACAGAGAUGAAAAAUGGUGAUUGGGACAAAAUUGAUACAGGCUGUACAAUCAACAUAAGUGAGACUAACAAUCCUCAGUGUCUAAAAACCUCCUUGAACAUACCAGUCAUUUACACUAGGGUUCACACUAUUAACUCAUAGCAAUCCCAAACAAUUUGACAAAAACGUCUUUGUUAAAAAUGCUUUGCUAUUGGAAGGAAAUCUGUCUAAUCUCUUGUGUUUUUAGCUGUAUAUUCCACUUUAGCUAUUAUUUAAUUAUAUUCAUCCUGGGUACCAUAUCUGCAUCAAUAUGAAAAAAACCAAAACCACAAGAAACCAGCUUUUGUUCCAAACACUGUGUGUCUCACCCAGAUUCCUCCUAAAGUACAAUAGAUUUAAUCCUUACUUUGUAUUUAAUUAUAUAUUUGCACUUAACAGUGAAUAUUUGAGGCUUUUCUAUUACCUGGUCGCACAAGAAAUGGCUGAAUAUAAAUAGAUGAAUUUUCAUCCAUUUAUAGUUGCAAUACUGCCACUCACAGAACAAAGACAAAUAGCUGGCAUAGAAGAAUAAAUCUCUGAAUGUUAUUUUGGGUAGUGCUUUAUUCAUCAAACAGGCAGAGAAAUGUUCUUGCCUAUUGUGAAGCAUGGAUAUCAUUUUUGGAGGCAAAAGACAAGCCACUCAGCAAAGGGAGAUGGCAGCAGCUGAGAGAACGUAAAUGACAAAGUUCAGUGUUAAAACAAUUCCUUGCAGUCAUUCCUGAUGGAGAGAACUAAUAGUGGAAAUCGAGGUGUUCAAAUCUCAUUCUGUAACAAGCAGAGGGAGGAAGCGAGUUAGUGUAUGGAGAAUUUAGAAAAGGCAGCUUUGUGUUGAGUUCUGGGAGGAUCGAAGCUGCUUAUGUUUUUGUUCACAUGGAGGGGUCUUUUGUCCGAGGCACGAACCCACACUUAAUUCUGAGACUGCAGUUCCUUUGCCUGUCGGUUUGCUUGUGCUUGGUGUUUGAGACUCAGAAAACACUUGGACUCCUCCAUUGUUUGUGGUGAGGUAAGAGGAACAUAUUAGGAAGUUGCUUUUCUUCCUUUUCCGGAGAUGCUGGGAAUCACCCACAUCUCUCUUGGUGGCUUUGUUAUUUUACCAUCUGCAUGAUUUUGAUUUUUAAAGGUUACGUGUAUUUUGAAAUCUUUCCCUGCGCUGGAUGUUUGACUUCAAUAUUUGUACAGUAGAUCUUCUGGAGCUCUGCAGCUAGAAAAUCACGCUAGUUUUUUAGUACACAGAAAAUGUAGCUCUUGACAUUCUGGCAGAUUUGCCAGACCUUUGCACACAGCCAGGAAUUAGUACUACGUGUAUAUAUAAUAUUGAAUGACAGCUCUUGGUUUUCCAGGAGACUGGUCAUGGGCACAGAACUCACCCCUCUUCUGGAUACUUUUAAUACUUGUGUUUCAUUGCAGCUUUGUAACAGCAGAAAGACUAUUUGCUUCAUGCACAGCCCCACUUUGGAGGCCACUGCUUGGGAGCAUGUGUGGCUUUUGUCUUGUGUCACUCCUAUCCCGAGUCUUGCCAUGUGCCUUGGGAGCUGGCAAGGACCCACUCACAGGCACAGUUUGCAACCCAGUGUCACUUUCUAAAGGACAUCAUUCUCCUGUUAAGGACGUAUGUCAGUUCUGACACAGAAAUGUGGCUGAAACUUAUGGGGCAGUUCAAGACCCUCUAUCCCUUAAACCUUUCAAGAGAUUACUGGCAGGACAGUUAAAUUGUUCUGACCUGAAGAGAGCCCACUGCCAAGCAGCUGGGCUGCACUCUCUGGCUGUGCAGGAGCUCCUGUGGGGACACGAGUGGCAGCGUGACAGCCUGGCACCAUGAUGCCAUUUGCAUCAUCAGGUUACUUGCAAGUGUAAGACAGUGAAAAGGGAAAAUAAAGAAAAGUAAUAGUAA